AUGCCCCAAAAAUUUGUCAAAAAUUCCCAAAUACCCCAAAUUUCCCCAAAAUUUCCCCAAAUCCCCCAAAUUUUCCCCAAAAUUCCCCCAAAAUUUCCAAAUUUUCCCCAAAAUUCCCAAAUUUUCCCCAGAAUUCCCAAAUUUUCCCCAGAAUUCCCCAAAUUUCCCCAAAUUCCCCCCAAAAUUUCCCAAAUUCCCCCACCCUGUACUGCUGUGGCUUCUCUUCCUUCCUCCUCCUCCUCCUCCUCCUCCUUGACCUUCACCCGCCCUUCGGCCUCGGAGGAUUCUCCUUCCUCUUCCUCCUCCUCCUCCUCUUCCUCCUCCUCUUCCUCAUCUUCAUCUUCUUCUUCUUCUUCUUCUUCUUCAUCUUCAUCGUCCUCUUCCUCCUCCUCAUCCUCUUCUUCCUCCUCCUCUUCCUGUUCCUCCUCCUCUUCCUCUUUCUUCCUCUGUGAAUGGAGAAAGUUUCAUUUUGAGGGGGGGUUCCCCUUCCCACCCUUCCUCUUCCUCUUUCCCUUCCUCUUCCUCUUCCCCUUCCUCUUCCUCUUCUUCCUCUUUCCCUGCCCUUCCUCUUCCUCCUUUUUUCCCACCUUUCCUCUUCCUCCUCUUCCUCCUUUCCCUCUUCUUCCUCCUUUUCCUGCCCUUCCUUCUCUUCCUUCUUCCCCCCUUCUUCCUCCUCUUUUCCCACCCUUCCUCUUCCUCUUCAUUUCCUGCCCUUUCUCUUCCUCUUUCUCCUCCUCCUUUCUCUGCCCUUCUUCUUCCUCUUUUCCCCCACCCUUCUUCUUCUUCCUCUUCCUCUUUUUCCCACCCUUCCUCUUCCUCUUCCUUCUUCUUCCCCUUCUCUUCCUCCUCUUCCCACUCUUCCUCCUCUUCCUCCUCAUUUUCCCACCUUUCCUCUUCCUUUUCCUCCUUUUCCCACCCUUCCUCUUCCUCCUCUUCCUCUUUCUCCCACCUUUCCUGUUCCCCUUCUUCCUCCUCCUUUCUCUCCUCUUCUUCCUUUUCCUUUCCCUGCCCUUCCUCCUUCCUCUUCCUCCUUCUCCUUUCUCUGCCCUUCCUCUUCUUCCCACUGUUCCUCUUCCUCCUCCUUUUCCUACUCUUCCUCCUCUUCCUCCUCCUUUUCCACCCUUGUCUCUUCCUCUUCUUUCCCUGCCCUUCCUCUUCCUCCUCUUCCUACUCUUCCUCUUCUUCCUCCUCCUUUCCCUCCUCUUCCUCCUUUUCCCACCCUUCCUUUUCCUCCUCUUUUCCCGCCCUUCUUCUUCUUCCUCUUCCUCUUCUUUCUCUCCUCUUCUUCCUCUUUCCUACCCUUCCUCUUCCUCCUUCUUCCCCCCUUCUUCCUCCUGUUUUUCCUGCCCUUCCUCUUCCUCCUUUCUCCUCUCAUCUUCCUCUUCCUUUUUCCUCUUUUCCCCCUCCUUUUCCUGCCCUUCCUCCUCCUCUUCCUCCUCUUCCUCCUGUUUUCCUGUCCUUCUUCUUCCUCCUCUCCCUCUUCCCCAUCCUUUUCCUGCUCUUCCUCCAUUUCUCCAGCCUUUCCCUGCCAUUUUCCUGCUCCUCUUCCUGCUCCUCUUCCUGCCCUUCUUCCUUCUCUUCCUCAUCUUUUCCUGCCCUUCCUCCUCCUUUUCUCCCUUUCCUGCUUUUCCUCCUUUUUCCUCCUCCUUUCUCCACCUUUCCUCCUUCUCUUCCUCUUCCAUUUCCUCCUCUUUUCUCCUCCCCUUCCUCUUUCCUUUCUCCUGUCUUUCCCCAUUUUCCUCUUCUUCCUCCCUUUCUCCCUCCUCCUUCUCUUCCUGCCUCUCAUCCUCCUUUUUUUCUCUCUCAUCCUCCUUUUCUUCUUCCUUGUUCUCCUUUUCCUCCUCUUCCUCCUUUUCUUCCUCCUUUUCCUCCUCCUCCCCAUUUCCCAUUCCCGGUUCCCAUUCCCAAUUCUCCACCUUGGAUCCUGGUUUCCAUUCUUGUUUCCCAUUUCCCAUUCCUGUCCCCAUUUCCUGUUACCCUUUCCUGUUUCCAUUCCCAGUUCCCAUUUCCCAUUCCCCAUUUCCUAUUUCCCAUUUCCAGUUUCUGUUCCCAUUUCCUGUUCCCAUUUCCCAUUCCUGUUCCCAUUCCCCAUUUCCACUUUCUGUUCCAAUUCCUAUUCCCAUUUUCCGUUCCUAUUCCCAUUUCCCAUUCCUAUUCCCAUUUCCCAUUCCUGUUCCCAUUUCCAUUUCCCGCUCCUGUUCCCAUUCCCCAUUUCCAGUUUCUGUUCCCAUUCCUAUUCCCAUUUCCCAUUCCUAUUCCCAUUUCCCAUUCCCCAUUUCCCAUUCCCCAUUCCUGUUCCCAUUCCCCAUUUCCCAUUCCCAUUUCCCAUUCCUAUUCCCAUUUACCCAUUCCUGUUCCCAUUCCCCAUUCCCCAUUUCCCAUUUCCCGUUUUCUGUUCCCAUUCCCCAUUUCCCAUUCCUGUUUCCCAUUUUGUUUCCCAUUCCAUUUCCCAUUCCCCAUUUCCAAUCCCCAGUUUCCCUUCCCAUUUCCCAUUUCCCAUUCCUGUUCCCAUUUCCAUUUCCUGUUUUCUGUUCCCAUUCCCCAUUUCCCAUUCCUGUUUCCCAUUUCGUUUCCCAUUCCCCAUUUCCAAUCCCCAGUUUCCCUUCCCAUUUCCCAUUUCCCAUUUCCCAUUCCCCUUUCCCCACCUUGGUUCCUGUUUCCCAUUCCCCAUUUCCUAUUUUCCAUUCCUCCACCUUGGUUCCCAUUUCCAUUUCCUAUUCCUGUUUUCCCACCUUAUUCCCAUUUCUUAUUUCCCAUUUCCAGUUUUCCAUUCCCAUUUUCCCACUUUGUGUCCUGUUCCCAUUUCCCAUUCCCAUUUCCUGUUCCCAUUCCCAUUUCCUGCUCCCAUUCCCAUUUCCUGCUCCAAUUCCCCAUUUCCUGUUCCCAUUCCCAUUUCCUGUUCCCAUUCCCAUUUCCUGCUCCCAUUCCCAUUUCCUGUUCCCAUUCCCAUUUCCUGUUCCCAUUCCCAUUUCUUGUUCUCAUUCCCCAUUUCCUGUUCCCAUUCCCAAUUAUUUCCCGUCCCCAUUUCCCAUUUUUCCCCACCUUGUUCCCAGCUCCCCAGUGCCAUUUCCAGGCCAGUUCCUGUUCCCAUUCCCCAUUUCCUGUUCCCAUCCCCCAUUCCCCAUUAUUUCCUGUCCCCAUUCCCCAUUUUCCCCCCACCUUGUUCCCUGUUCCCCGGUGCCUUUUCCAGGCAGGCUCCCGCUCCCAUUCCCCAUUUCCUGUUCCCAUUCCCCAUUUCCCAUUUUUCCCCACCUUGUUCCCGGCUCCCCGGUGCUGUUUCCGGGCGGGCUCCUGCUCCCAUUCCCCAUUUCCUGUUCCCAUUCCCCAUUUCCUUUUCCCAUUCCCCAUUAUUUCCUGUUCCCAUUUCCCAUUUUUCCUCACCUUAUUCCCGGCUCCCUGGUGCUGUUUCCGGGCCGGCUCCUGCUCCCAUUCCCCAGUUCCUGUUCUCAUUCCCCAUUCCCCAUUUCCUGUCCCCAUUCCCCAUUAUUUCCUGUUCCCAUUUCCCAUUUUCCCCACCUUCUUCCCGGCUCUCCGGUGCUGUUUCUGGGCCUGCUCCUGCUCCCAUUCCCCAUUUCCUGUUCCCAUUUCUCGUUCCCAUUUCCCAUUUUUCCCCCACCUUGUUCGCGGCUCCCCGGUGCCGUUUCCAGGCUGGUUCCUGUUCCCAUUCCCCAUUUCCUGUUCCCAUUCCCCAUUCCCCAUUUCCCAUUUUUCCCCCACCUUGUUCCCGGCUCCCCGGUGCCGUUUCCGGGCCGGUUCCUGCUCCCAUUCCCCAUUCCCCAUUAUUUCCCAUUCCCCAUUAUUUCCCCACCUUGUUCCCGGUUCCCCGGUGCCGUUUCCGGGCGGGCUCCUGCUCCCGGUGCUGCUCCUGGCGCUGGGCGAAGCGCGCGAUGA
ensembl:lncRNA